UACGGGGGGGGGGCAAGCGUUGUUCGGAAUUAUUGGGCGUAAAGAGCUCGUAGGCGGUUUGUCGCGUCUGCUGUGAAAACUCGGGGCUUAACUCCGGGCCUGCAGUGGGUACGGGGCAGACUAGAGUGCGGUAGGGGAGACUGGAAUUCCUGGUGUAGCGGUGAAAUGCGCAGAUAUCAGGAGGAACACCGGUGGCGAAGGCGGGUCUCUGGGCCGUAACUGACGCUGAGGAGCGAAAAGCGUGGGGGAGCGAACAGG
rnacentral:rRNA from 1 species